rnacentral:rRNA from 1 species
GAUGAACGCUGGCGGCGUGCCUAAUACAUGCAAGUCGAGCGAAUGGAUUAAGAGCUUGCUCUUAUGAAGUUAGCGGCGGACGGGUGAGUAACACGUGGGUAACCUGCCCAUAAGACUGGGAUAACUCCGGGAAACCGGGGCUAAUACCGGAUAACAUUUUGAACCGCAUGGUUCGAAAUUGAAAGGCGGCUUCGGCUGUCACUUACGGAUUGACCCGCGUCGCAUUAGCUAGUUGGUGAGGUAACGGCUCACCAAGGCAACGAUGCGUAGCCGACCUGAGAGGGUGAGCGGCCACACUGGGACUGAGACACGGCCCAGACUCCUACGGGAGGCAGCAGUAGGGAAUCUUCCGCAAUGGACGAAAGUCUGACGGAGCAACGCCGCGUGAGUGAUGAAGGCUUUCGGGUCGUAAAACUCUGUUGUUAGGGAAGAACAAGUGCUAGUUGAAUAAGCUGGCACCUUGACGGUACCUAACCAGAAAGCCACGGCUAACUACGUGCCAGCCGCCGCAGUAA